AGCGAACGUUAGCGGCGGGCUUAACACAUGCAAGUCGAACGCGAAAGGGACUUCGGUCCUCGGUAGAGUGGCGAACGGGUGAGUAACACGUGGGUAAUCAACCUCAUGGCGGGGGACAACCUUCCGAAAGGAUGGCUAAUACCGCAUAAGUCGGCGAUUUCUAUGAAGUUGUCGGGAAAGGCGGCGCCGCAAGGGCUGCCACCAUGAGACGAGCCCGCGUCCCAUCAUGCUAGUUGGUGAGGUAAUGGCUCACCAAGGCUUAGACGGGUAGCUGGUCUGAGAGGAUGAUCAGCCACACUGGAACUGCGACACGGGUCCAGACUCCUACGGGAGCAGCAGUGGGGAAU
rnacentral:rRNA from 1 species